CUUUUUUUUUUUUUUCCUAGCAAAGAUAGAAUUAGCAUUGCUAAUUGAGGUUAUUUAGGUGUAUGAUGAUUUUGGUUGGUACCGGAAGUGAAAUUGUUCUCAUAUUAUCUGAUUAUGGCAUCCUUUUUAGUUGCAAGUGUUGAUUGAGUGCUAAAUUAGUUAUUAUAGGUUAGUGGUAAAUUUUUAAUGGGCUACGCUUCAGUCUAAAAUGAGAUUUAGGUUGUUAUUGUUUUCUGAGUGAACAGAUUAAUUUUUUAAUUGUUGUAAUUUUCUUGGAUAGAGCCAUUGUCAUCAAUCAAACAACUGGUCAAAUUAUUACUUCCCAGUAUUGGCACUAUAAAAAUCUACCCAAUUUUUGUAUAGCUAAAUGAAUUGUUAGGUUUCUUGUCAUAAUUGAGGUGUUGAUGCAUGUUGUACAGUUGUAGUCAUGAUGAAUGAAUUUUUAUGUUUUGCAUGUUGUAGGUAAUUCUAUAAUUCUCAAAUUUAUUAGUGUUUGAUGUGCAGAAAUGGAGCAAGGGAAAGCAAAAGGAGAAGGUGAACAAC
rnacentral:misc_RNA from 1 species